GUGUGGCAAAGGCCCAGGAUUGUGACACAGUCCCAGGGCUUCCCUAGUGAUGCCCCAGGACAGACAGCACUCAUGCCCAGCUGGGAGGGGGGGGCACUGACUUACGGCAUGCGGUGUGGUCGGUCCAGCCAUACAAGACCAUUCCCUGCUGGGCACAGGCCCGGGCAUAUUCCAGGAGGGCCGUGCAAGGGCACUGCAGCCCCUGGGCACACGUGCACAGAGUCUUCUCACACAGGGCCACAAAAGGCUCGGGGGCCACCAGGGGGUGGCAGCGGGCAAACACCGAGGCACUCUUCAGAAGCUGGCACUGCUCCCAUGGGCCCUGCGAGAAUGAGACACCACCUCAGUGCAGAAUAGCACCCCGCAGCCCUGGUUUCCUGAAUGCGGCUCCACGAAGAACCAGCCCUGCCCGGAAAACCGAGGAAGCUCCCUCACACCUGGCACCUAGGAGGUGCUUACCAACAUCUGCCAGAUUAACCGGUCCAGCCGUCAAAGGCAAAAUCUUGAACUCAUGCUACAAGAAAUGGAUGGACUCUCAGUUUAAAAUCUCUGAUGUUGGGAGGCACGGCGUUAGAAGUCAUUCCCCCAUGAGCUCCUUCUUUGCUGCAAAUAAAAUUUCCUUUCUGUGAUAAAAUAAAAAUAUAAUAAAUCUCUGAAGUUAGUGUGCAUCUCA